AUUAUUAGGUCUUUCCACCUUUCCGUGGAAAGACCUAUAGGUUUUGUUCUGAUUAUUAGGUCUUUCAACCUUUCUGUUGAAAGACCUAUUGAAUUCGUUCUGAUUAUUAGGUCUUUCAACCUUUCAGGUGAAAGACCUAUAGGGUUUGUUCUGAUUAUUAGGUCUUUCAACCUUUCUGUUGAAAGACCUAUUGAAUUCGUUCUGAUUAUUAUUAGGUCUUUCAACUUUUCUGUUGAAAGACCUAUUGUAUUCGUUCUGAUUAUUAGGUCUUUCAACCUUUCAGGUGAAAGACCUAUAGGGUUUGUUCUGAUUAUUAUUAUUAUUAGGUCUUUCAACCUUUCUGUUGAAAGACCUAUUGUAUUUGUUCUGAUUAUUAUUAUUAUUAAGUCUUUCCACUUUUCUGUGGAAAGACUUAUUGUUUUUGUUCUGAUUAUUAUUAUUAUUAUUAUUAUUAUUUUUUUUUUUUUUCCGCCAACUUUUGUUCUUGCGAUAAAUGUUUGUUUCGCAAUAUGUCGCUUAGAUAUUUCUCAUAUUGUAUCGUAUAGUUUAUGCGCUUUUAAAUUUCACCCUGCUAAGCCGAACCAUUUUCUUUGUAAGAGUUAUCUCCCUAUUCACUGUUUAUCAUCAAAGCGUAUCUCCUUCGUAACAAAAAAAGAUAGCGACAAAAUUCUUUUUACAAAUUGUUCGUUACAUCCUCAGUAAUUUUUGGCGUAUUUGGAUCGAAGCGAUUCGAUGAAAUUUUAUAGGAGUUAUCUACCUUUACAAAAUAAAUUUGUCGGUAUGUUUAUUUAACUCAUUAACAGAUAACAGUAUAACCCUGGGAUGUUUUUAUUUGAGUCCCCUAGGUCCUAACUUAGAAAAUGAGGUCAAGGUCAAAGGUCAAGGUCAAGUUCUCAAUUGUGACUUUUGCUUGUUUUUGCAUUUUCUCACUCACUUUGAGAG
rnacentral:lncRNA from 1 species